CCUACGGGAGGCAGCAGUGGGGAAUAUUGGACAAUGGGCGAAAGCCUGAUCCAGCAAUGCCGCGUGAGUGAUGAAGGCCUUAGGGUUGUAAAGCUCCUUUACCAGGGAUGAUAAUGACAGUACCUGGAGAAUAAGCUCCGGCUAACUCCGUGCCAGCAGCCGCGGUAAUACGGAGGGAGCUAGCGUUGUUCGGAAUUACUGGGCGUAAAGCGUACGUAGGCGGUUAUUCAAGUCAGAGGUGAAAGCCUGGAGCUCAACUCCAGAACUGCCUUUGAAACUAGAUAGCUAGAAUCUUGGAGAGGUGAGUGGAAUUCCGAGUGUAGAGGUGAAAUUCGUAGAUAUUCGGAAGAACACCAGUGGCGAAGGCGACUCACUGGACAAGUAUUGACGCUGAGGUACGAAAGCGUGGGGAGCAAACAGGAUUAGAUACCCUGGUAGUCCACGCCGUAAACGAUAGAUAACUAGACUGUUCGGGUCGUCUACGACGACGUGUAGUAGGCGGCGACGACGUAACCGUACCGAAUUAAAGUUUAAGUUACCGUCCGUCGGGGUAGGGUAACGGGUUACGGUACGAACGAAGUUAAAACUUAACUAAACGGAAAAGUUAAGUACGGACGUGAGACGUAGCCGAACGGACGACGACGAGGGAGGAGG
rnacentral:rRNA from 1 species